rnacentral:lncRNA from 1 species
UUAAUUUUGUUAAUUAUGUUAUUUUUUCAUUUUUUCUUUAUUCAUUUAGUAAUAAGGUUAGGAUGGUAUAUUUAACUAAAUAACUUAAACGUAAAUCCUAUUAUUUAAAGGAUUUAUUUAUUUUUUAAUCUAUGAUAACGUAUCAUCCAAUUUACAAUUUCAAUCCGUUUCUUUAUCAUUUACAUGACAUUAACUAACCGGAAGUAUAUUAUGGGGGACAGAAAAAGUAUUGUUUUUUUUUUGUUUUUUUGACUUGGGGGGAGUUGCGGAGGGAAAACAGUGGGUUUGAACUCGGAACCUCACUAUUCACACAGGAGGUCGCACCGCUUGGUGUCUCCUUGGGGAUAGAGGAUGUAUUGUUCAGAUAAUAUACAUAGUUGUUAUGCAUAAAAGGAUGCGUAAUAAAUAACUAACUGGUAGGCGUAAACAUCGUUGAGGUCGAAAGUGGAGGUGGAGUCGGGAAGUUUGAUGGUGGUGGAGUUGGAUCCUAAGAGGCUCACUGUCAAUACGAGAAAAACCAAUGUGAUGAUC